AUGAAAUAAUCAUGAAAGACUUUUCUUACCAAAGUGCUCUGCAUCAACAAUGGAUCAAAAUAAUCAUUCUAAUAGAAAAUGAGUCAAAGAGAUCAUAGGUGCUGGAUAUACUAGAUAGGCAGGGUUUUGGAUGAGCAAAGGGUUGGGACAACAUUGCUAUGGGCUGUCUCAUUUCCUAGACUAUGGACUGGAACCAUAUAAAAAGAGCUCAUAUCCCAGUGCUCCUCAUUCACUCAUCUUCACUCCUUUGCAUUUGUCCUAGCUGCUGAAGAGGCUUUGCCCACACGACAGAAGAUGUGCUCCCGCAGACCUUGCCACGAGCGUGAAACCUCCUGCCACAGUUCUGGGUCUCGCUGCCAUGAGUCCAGACCUUCCUGCAACAUCACUGUGGUAGAGAGACCAUACUGCUGGCAAGGGCAACAAUACCGUCCACCCUACUAUCCAGUGCAACCCAUCUACCCAGGCUAUCAGCAGUGCUGCAAGUACCCUAAGAUCCCACAGUGCCCCCAGUACCCACAGUACCCCCAGUAUCCCCAGUUCCCACAGUACCCCAAGUAACAGCCAGAAGAACAGCAAGGAGAGAAGCCAAGACCUGCAUGUUCCCUUCCUCCUGUUAUGAAGAUGGCUCAUGUGCCGAAGGUUGCUUUGUCUUGUUGCAUAAAUUGCAGCUUCUCUAUGUAUGUCUGUGCCAUGUUUUGAAGAUUUGCCCACUGUAUAAGUGUGAAGUGUUCUUAACGAGGGUCCUUUCCGGAGUCGUGUAUGCUCCCAGACUAUGGGAAUUGUUCUAAUCUUGCUUUCCUACUUCCUACUGCAGCUUGAUAUGGCACACAAUAAAACAUAACAUUCACAAAAGCA